GGACAACACAGGAGGAUAGCACAGGUGGACAACACAGGUGGACAACACAGGUGGAUAUAGCACAGGUGGACAACACAGGUGGACAGCACAGGUACAUAACACAGGUGGACAACACAAGUGGACAGCACAGGUGG